rnacentral:tRNA from 1 species
GGUGCCAUAGUGUAACUGGUUAACACAUCAGCCUUUCAUGCUGAAAAGUCCGAGUUCGAGCCUCGGUGGCAUCGCCA